GCCUCCGUAGCUCAGGGGAUAGAGCACCGCUCUCCUAAAGCGGGUGCCGCAGGUUCGAAUCCUGCCGGGGGCACC
rnacentral:tRNA from 5 species